rnacentral:rRNA from 1 species
UACGUAGGGUGCAAGCGUUGUCCGGAAUUACUGGGCGUAAAGGGCUCGCAGGCGGCCGACUAAGUCAGACGUGAAAUCCCUUGGCUUAACCAAGGAAUGGCGUCUGAUACUGGACGGCUUGAAUUCGGGAGAGGGAUGUGGAAUUCCAGGUGUAGCGGUGAAAUGCGUAGAUAUCGAGAGGAACACCGGUGGCGAAGGCGGCCAACUGGACGAGUACUGACGCUGAGACACGAAAGCGUGGGGAGCAAACAGG